UACAGAGGUCCCAAGCGUUGUUCGGAUUCACUGGGCGUAAAGGGUGCGUAGGUGGUGGGGUAAGUCGGAUGUGAAAGCUCGGAGCUCAACUCCGAAAUGGCAUUGGAACCUACCCUGCUAGAGGAUUGGAGGGGGGACUGGAAUACUUGGUGUAGCAGUGAAAUGCGUAGAUAUCAAGUGGAACACCAGUGGCGAAGGCGAGUCCCUGGACAAUACCUGACACUGAGGCACGAAAGCUAGGGGAGCAAACAGG
rnacentral:rRNA from 1 species